CACAGAGACGGAGACACAUAAACUUCCUGUUAUAGCUCGGCGUUAACAUGGAGGGCUUUUCUCCAAAACAAGAAAGCUAGUUUUGAGGAAGCGCGGCCGUCGUUUGGAGCUUCCUGGAGUCCAGCCAGGCCAGGCCUUCCAGUCUCAGGAGACUUGUUCUCUGUUCUGCAGCGUCUCAUGUACAAGCAGCUGCAGGAGCUCGGCAAUUACCUAACAAGGCUAAAAAAAAAUUUUUUUUAAAACUCCAACGAGAUCGGGAAAGCCUGGGAGAAUAUUGAGAAAGAACGAGAGUCCUUUCUCUCGGACGGCGUCAUCAUCCGUGAGGAAUGAAAUGUGACGCCGGCUGUCAGGGCUGGUUUGGGGAAAGUGGCCGCCAGUCAGCCAUGGUGCAGGCAGAGUGUGGAUGACUGAUUAGAGAGGCCGUGCUGGAAGCCAGCAGGUCACAGGGUGGAGCCUCGCGCCAGAUAAGGACUUGGCACAUUCAGGGUUUUACUCACCUUGGAAUGCUAACCGUAUCAGCUGGUUUUAUUACUAAUAUUCAUGUGUUUAUGGUUAUGUUUAGAGAUGCUGAUCAAACUUUGGAUCUUAAACAUGACCUUUUACGAAUCCCUGAAUAUGUUAGGAUACGUCUGACGGCUGCACAACCUGUUCAUCACAUUUCUUUGCACAAGAUUUUCUUAGAUAAUGAGAUUUCAGUCUGCUCAGCUCUGCCUAUUUUGAGCUGUUUUGAGGCCUCCUGUCACUUUAAGCUCCUGCUGACCAACCCCCCCCCCGCCCCCCCCAACUCAACGUUUACACUUGCACGUGAAAAUGGCUGCAAACAGAUGAGCAAUUAUACGCCCGAACAUCUUUGAAGAGCAAAAGUGGAGCCUCCUGCACAGCAACCACAAUGCAACGAGUGGUUUCUGGAUGAAAGGGUCAAGGCACAUAAAUCCUUCUGCUAACCGCAGUAAAAACGGCAAGAAAUGACGGAUGAUCCCUUCUGCCUGUUCAUCUGAAGCAAUGCAGCCUCCUGCCUGCUGCAGAAAGCGGAUUGAUUUGCUGCAGCGGACGUUGCAUGUCGCAGGGAGAUGCAACACCGGCCGGCGGCUUUCAGCACCUUGCAGGCGUGGACCAGAACAAAAGAGGCGGCAGCAGCAGCAGCGGCGGCGGCGGCACCGGAUCCCAACCGGUUCAAAGAUUUUAAAAACUCCGUGUUAGACAGAGAACAGAUUUAGAGAUGCGAACUAACAAAUCACAUCUGAUGAUGGAUCCACAUAGCUGCACAUGACGCAAAUGCAGCAACAUUACUCCACACUGCUGCUUCACAAACUUUUCCACCUCCCAGACAGCGCCGCGCUGCAAAGCGCCAAACUCCCAACAGCCACAGGUUUGUAAAAAUGUCUUCGUUCUGAUU